CCUUCCAAUCACAAAUAUUCUACAUGUGGUGAUCCAAGCAACUCUUCAUGCAUUAAUGAUUGGUUCUUAAUUUCUGUUCUUUAGCUUCCAUGACAUAAUUUAAGAUUAUAUACUCUAAAAGCAAAGCACUCUAUCUGGCACUCUGGGAGGCUGGCAGUGAACCUCACAUGAUCCCUCCAGACAUGAUUUGAAGGAGUUGACACUGCAGUAAGUCAUUUCAAGAUGAGUUCUUAAGAUCCGAAGAGGUUGAGAAAACAAGACUUUUAUUGCUUGAAGAAAAUUUGCUACUCUGCCUGGAUGAAAUGAGUUUUCAUGGAAUUGAGUAAGUUUUUUCUAAG
rnacentral:lncRNA from 12 species